GAACACAUCUCACCCUUCUCCAAGGAAGACAUAUUUGAACUCCAGCCUAAAGGAUGAAUAAGGCUAGAUGAUGAAAAUGAAAGAAUGUUCCAGAUAUAUAAACGCUGGGGAGUGACAGAGAACUUGCAAGAACCUGAGGCUAUUAAAAGAAGAGGACCGGGUCAAUCCAGGAAGCCACCUCAUUUUCCUUGCUGCCAGUUACAGAUUCAGGCCAGUCUGGGCAGUUUCAGCACUUCCGAAAUAAACACUGAAGGAAACUCAAUCAGAAGAUGACAAAGCCUAGGAGGGUUGGUCUCAGGAGGCCUAUCCAGAGCCUCCUUGUCUCCACUACAUGCUUGAAACUUCGCUGACCUCCUGACUUGCUGUGUCUCCAUGAGUACUUGCUAUACUCUAAAUGUCUGGCUACUCAUCCAUAAGACAUGAAUUCAUUCAGCUGGGACCAAGUUCUUGCUCAUGGCCUAGUACAGUAUCUAUCACACAGCAGGGAAACCACUGGAGCAACCAUUCUGGAAAUCUGCUUUGUAUUUGAGGCUCCUCAAGACUCCAACAGGAAAAUAAUAAACUGACAUCCUGAGAGGCUGAGUCCUGCCCCUUCCUGUCUGCCUCACACUGCAGGCAGGUGUCUGGGUGGGAAAUUGGACACCCCUGUCAGACAGUUUCCUGCACCGUCUUGCUCUUGUCUGCCAGCCGGGCCCAGAUCACCCCAUAAGGCGGAUGUGGGGAACAGCUGGUGUCUGUACAGACAAAUAAGGGAGGGAGAAUGAAGGGAGCAGACAGUCAUCAUGCUGGGCCAAGGCAUCACGGAGGCCCUAGCCCUGGGAACCGGGAAGAAGUUUAGGUGGAAAACUGGCAAGAAGGAAGUCUGGGAGAAGAUGCUGAGUGCUUAACUCUGGGCCUGGAGUUCAUACCAAGAACUCCAUUCCUGGAGGUCUAUGAAGCAAGAAUAUCACCCACAAGGGGCAGGACAAGAUGCUUGGGCAAGACACAAGCCUGCUGCAAAAGGAUGUUCCAAGGGGUUCGAAGCAGGUGCUGUGCAGCUUGAAUUCUCUUGGUUUGCAUCAUCUUAGCUUUACCACUUGCAAACUGUGUGAAUUUAACCCUUCUAAGCCCCAGUUUCAUCAUCUAUAAAAUGAGGAUUAAAAAGAUAACGCCUAGGGCCGGCCAUGGCGGCUCACAUCUGUGAUCCCAGCACUUUGGGAGGCUGAGGCUGGAGGAUCACUGGAGCCCAGGAGUUCAAGACCAGUCUGGGCAAUACAGGGAGACCGCUUUCUCUACAAAAAAAUAUGAAAAUUA